rnacentral:tmRNA from 1 species
GGGGGCGUCAUGGUUUCGACUUUAUGGAGCAGGGUGACGAUGCAUGUCGGAGAUGGCCGGUUGGCUCCGUUAAAAAUCCGGCCAAAGUCCUUAAAUGGCAAAACUAAAAAAGAUAACAUUAUUAGAGGCUUAAACUUCAGCCCAGCGGCCAAUGGCUGUGCGGCGAUGAGUGCGGCUGCCUAAUGGUGGAGUCACCUAGGAUAGGUGGCACGUCGCGGUGUCUGACGGUCCGCUAGGACAUCGCGACGACAAACAGCGGGCACGGCGGGGUUGGCGUGCAUCCACCCCGCUAAGAAAAUGCACUCGCCGGGAAAAUUGGUGUCGAAGCGAAUUUUUUUCGGUUAAAUCUUAGACGGCGACUAAGCAUGUAGAUGCGGCAUCUGAGAACAUAAAGGACGUGGGUUCGACUCCCACCGCCUCCACCA